GAUACGCUGGACAGCCCAGCAGUGGCUACUGGUUUAGAGCAAUUGCGCUAACUGUCUUGCCCAAGGACACAUUCGCUCACAAUUGUAGCAGCGAGCCUUGAGCCUUAAACCUAUAACCUUUGGGUUACAGACGAGCGCGCUAGCCGCAAACCACUUUUACAUGGCGUCGGACAUACCAUUUAAAAUUGGAAUAAAACGGUUUAAAGUUUAAACGAAACAUCCCGUGUUAGCAAUAUACAUAACAAGAAAACUGAUUGGAUUUUGGUUAAUAUUGGGUAUGCUACAACAGAAACGAAUAUAACUGGAAAUGGAUAUUCUGUUUAUUUCGGAGUUAAUUGCAAAUCCUGGGCCACAAGGACGGCAUGUUAUGGUCAUUGGAUAUUUGGACAAUUACAAUCCUAUUGAAGGCACUGCCGUUCUUACAACCACCGACGGGAAUUGUUGUUUACACUUGACAUUAGACCUUACAACCUGUCAAGUUGAUGACAUUGCAAAUAAUAUUUUGUGCCGAAUCAUUGGACGCUCGUACAAAAUGGAAGAUGACUCGUUAAAAAUAGAAGUAGAAUCAUUUAUAAGUUGUCGAAAUUGGAAUUAUGCUGAGUACAAAGAAACAAUUGAACUACAACGAAAAAUGUUUGAAGAAAACAAACAAAACAACUAAAUAUAUUUUAACAUCUUAUUUUUCACUGUUCAAUCAUAGACAUAUAAUUUAUAAAUAUCCUUAAUUCAAAAUGUUUUUGUUCAUUUGUUUUGUAAUACCUCUUAAUUUAUUAGUGUUGCCUACAAUCAUAUUUCUAUAUUUUGUUUACAAAUAAUAUACCGAAUAACUUUUCCUUUUCCUUUUUUAG